rnacentral:rRNA from 1 species
UACGGAGGGUGCAAACGUUGCUCGGAAUCAUUGGGCGUAAAGCGCACGUAGGCGGCCUAGUAAGUCGGGUGUGAAAGCCCUGGGCUCAACCCAGGAAGUGCACUCGAAACUGCCAGGCUUGAAUAUGGAAGAGGGUCGCGGAAUUCCCGGUGUAGAGGUGAAAUUCGUAGAUAUCGGGAGGAACACCAGUGGCGAAGGCGGCGACCUGGGCCAAUAUUGACGCUGAGGUGCGAAAGCGUGGGGAGCAAACAGG